ACUGAAUGUAUUGCUCCCAGUUUUGAUAAUUGGCCUGAGUUACUCCAAUCCAUUGCAAUGUUUGGUGUCUCAGCAAGGUAGAGAAUGGCAGGAGAAGAAAAGAUGAUCUCUAGUCUCCCUGUCUUGUUGACAUAAUGCACAUGUGUUGUCCACAUUGAGUUUCCACUGUUCCAAUCUAUCCUUAGUAGGCAGCCUAUCCUGUAAUAUCAGCCAAAGGUUGAAGACUGCCUUGGGUCUAGC
rnacentral:lncRNA from 1 species